UACGUAGGGGGCUAGCGUUGUCCGGAAUCAUUGGGCGUAAAGAGCGUGUAGGCGGCCAGAUAGGUCAGCUGUGAAAACUCGAGGCUCAACCUCGAGAUGUCGGCUGAAACCAUCUGGCUAGAGUCCGGAAGAGGAGAAUGGAAUUCCCGGUGUAGCGGUGAAAUGCGCAGAUAUCGGGAAGAACACCCGUGGCGAAGGCGGUUCUCUGGGACGGUACUGACGCUGAGACGCGAAAGCGUGGGGAGCGAACAGG
rnacentral:rRNA from 1 species